rnacentral:lncRNA from 1 species
GUGCAGUGUGUGUGAGGGUGUUGUGUGUGUAUGUGAGGGGUGCAGUGUGUGUGAGGUGUGUAGUGUGUUAGUGAUGGGUGCUGUGUUUGCGUGAGGGUGCUAUGUGGGUAAGGGUGCUGUGUGUGUGUGCUGUGUGUGAUUGGGUGCUGUGUUUGCGUGAGGGUGCCAUGUGCGUAUGAGGAAGCUGUGUGUGUCAGGGGUGCAGUGUGUGUGUGGUGUGUUGUAAGUGUUAGGGGUGCAGUGAGUGUGUGCUGUACGUGUCAGGGGUGCAGUGAGUGUGUGCUGUGCGUGUCAGGGGUGCAGUGAGUGUGUGUGUGCGAGGGUGCUGUAAGUGUUAGGGGUGCAGUGUGUGUGUGCUUUGAGUGUCGGGGUGCAGUGUGUGUGUGUGUGUGAGGGUGCUGUAAGUGUUAGGGGUGCAGUGUGUGUCUGCUGUGAGUGUCAGGGGUGCAGUGUGUGUGUGUGAGUGAGGGUGCUGUGAGUCUCAGGGGUGCAGUGUGUGUAUGUGAGUGAGUGAGGGUGCUGUGAGUGUUAGGGGUGCAGUGUGUGUGUGUGUGUGUGUGUGUGUGUGCUGUG